AGGCAGGCCAAGGUGGAGGCCUGAGUGGCCUGAGAAGAGAUGGAGGCAGAAACGGUCCCCGUUUUGUCCCAAGGUGUCCUCGAUGUCCAUACUCACUGCCCUGGCUCUCCAGGCCCUGCUCUAAUUAGGAAGGUGAACCAUGGACAACACAGCUGACUGCCAUGUCUCUGGAUUAUGCUCACUGAACUGAAACUCCCUUGCCCUCAGGUCUGCUGUCCUUUGCAGUUCUGGACCCCUGCAUGGCUGUCUCCUGGACUGGGAGCUGGAGGCUAGGGCCCGACUGUUAGGUUCCCCUGUUAGUAGGCAUCUCACCUGUUUUCUUCACCAUCCUUGAGAUGAUGGUAGAUGAUAUUUAGCACCUGUAGACAGGGCCUCAUUGGGCCCCUUGGGCUUACAGAGCAGAACAGAGACUAGCCUCCUGCUCUUAGAAUUGGGUAGUGUUCUUUUCCAAGAAGACAUGGCACUAAGGUGAUCAUAUGAACAGACUGACAGACUGCAGUCUAAAUACCCAUGCCCCAGGGCCAGCGCUGACCUUGCUUGUCACCUAUGACAUGGCGCUGUGUAGGGAUUAAAGAGAGAGAUUCAGGUCCCUCCUGCUGGACAUCCCACUGGCCUCCCAGACUCUCCCAGCACCUGCAGUGGCACAGCAGCUCAAUAAACCCAUGUGCACUGAG
rnacentral:lncRNA from 1 species